GCGCCUGUAGCUCAGCUGGAUAGAGCGUCGGACUUCUAAUCCGAGGGUCGGAGGUUCGACUCCUCCCAGGCGCACCA
rnacentral:tRNA from 1 species